UAUAUACUUCCUCCGUCCAACAAAUGGUGUCUCAAUUUUAAUUAAAUUCGGAUGCAUCUAUACACUAAGUCAUGUCUAGAUACAUUCAAAUUUUGAGAAAUUUGAGACAUCAUUUAUUGCACGGAGGGAGUAGAUA
rfam:Brachypodium distachyon strain Bd21 chromosome 3, whole genome shotgun sequence.